rnacentral:sRNA from 1 species
CGUGGUUUGCUGUGUGGUGGGCACGUCACUCGUGUGGGUGGUCAUCAUAUACCACACAAGGCGGAGGAAUGAAGAUUGCAGCAUUACCAACACAGAUGAGACCAACUUGCCAGCAGAUAUUCCUAGUUAUUUGUCAUCUCAGGGAACGUUAGCUGACAGGCAGGAUGGGUACGUGUCUUCAGAAAGUGGAAGCCACCACCAGUUUGUCACAUCUUCAGGUGCUGGAUUUUUCUUACCACAACAUGACAGUAAUGGGACCUGCCAUAUUGACAAUAGCAGUGAAGCUGAUGUGGAAGCUGCCACAGAUCUGUUCCUCUGUCCGUUUUUGGGAUCCACAAGCCCUAUGUAUUUGAAGGGAAAUGUGUAUGGCUCAGAUCCUUUUGAAACGUAUCAUACAGGUAGGUGGUUUUCUUGCUUGAGUACAGUUCUGUUUCUUAGAGAGACUUCUAGAUGUGCUAACUGUAAUCUCCUUCUGUUAUUACCCCCAUAUUAAAAAGGUUGCAGUCCUGACCCAAGAACAGUUUUAAUGGACCACUAUGAGCCCAGUUACAUAAAGAAAAAGGAGUGCUACCCAUGUUCUCAUCCUUCAGAAGAAUCCUGCGAACGGAGCUUCAGUAAUGUAGCAUGGCCUUCACAUGUGAGGAAGCUACUUAAUACUAGUUACUCUCAAAAUGAAGGACCCGGGAUGAAAAAUCUGUGUCUAAACAAGUCCUCUUUAGAUUUUAGUGCAAAUCCAGAGCCAGCGUCGGUUGCCUCGAGUAAUUCUUUCAUGGGU